ACAACAACAGUCUUAGCUAGAGAUUACAAAGGGGAAAUUGUAGAGGCAGAAAAUUAUCUGUUUGAAGAUGUUGGUGAUGCAUUUGUGGCAGAGGCACGAGCUUGUGAAAGGGCUUUAAUCUUCGCGCGUCAGAUAUGUUUUAGGCGGCUGAUUGUGGAAGGUGACUCUUUGUCAGUCAUCAAAAAUAUUAAGAAAAAUGAGGAAGAUAAAUCGAUUCUCAGGCUGAUUACUCAUCAUAUUCAUCAAUUGAAUCUGCUUUUUGAUGAGGUAACUUACAGUUUUGUGCCCCGUGCAGUUAAUGAUGCAGCUCACGUUCUGGCACUACAAGGUCGGAGAAGAAUGGUGUGUGGGAACUGGGUUGAUGGUGUACCGAAUUUUGUGAGGAUUGUGGUGGUGAAAGACUGUUUGGUUUGGAAUCAGAGGA
rnacentral:lncRNA from 1 species